ensembl:lncRNA
AAAAAACAUCAAAACCCCAAGACUUCGAGAGUGAUUCUACAUAGACAUGGCAAAAGCCACCACACAGUCUAUGGGACAGUCUCAAGCCUCCUGGUAUUCAUCCAAAAAAAAUUGUGAAGAUGAACAGAGCUUUUACGGGUUUGGAACGACAUGGGGGAAUUGAAGGUGGGGAUGAACAGCGCUCUCAUCCACAAUCACAACUGACGGGGCCUUGACCAAGGCACCAAACCCCCAAUUGCUUCCUGUGUGCUGGGCGAAUGGCUGCCCACUGCUCCAGGCCUUUUCGACACGACAGCCAUCGGCACAGAUCCUCAGCAAAGAUCACGAGAACUAGAUGAGACCUCCGCACAGACCCCAUGGAAUCCUGUCUUCAAGCAGAAGGAACUGGAUGAAAUAUUCUGAAUGAUACUGAAC